UGAGGCUGUGCCAGUUAACGGUGUUUUUUCCUACGCCACCGCGGCACCUCUGUCGCUCGGAUCAGAGGAUGCUGCAGAUGCACUGCGGUAGAAACGGCCGCGCGACUGAGCAGAUCCAGUGUGUGACGGCUAUUUAAGCUUCUGUCCCGCCGCUUAGCUUUGUCUGUUAACCACUGCAGGGGCCUCACCUAGCGUUUAUAGCACAAUGAAUGAGCGACAUGGGCUUUGGUUGUGGUAGCUGAUAUUAGGGUGAACUGGCCCUUUAAGUGAGCUCCACUGCGGCGGGGGCGGGGUAAUGAUGGCGUCUUUCUGUCAACAGAAGAUGGUCACAUAACGCUGGAUUGAUCAGUCUCUAACUUCCAAUAACUGCCCGUAUAGUUGUGGGUUCCGCUUUUAUAAUACAAUUAGAUAAUCUUGCAGGCUAAAGCCGCGGGUUAAUGUGGCCAGUGUGAUGGUAUUUCAUAACAAUUUAACUGUUGUAUAAUAAUUUGUUGUGAACCAGCUGCAGCUACUUACGAGCUUCUUUUUCUCGUUUCACAAACAAGCGAUGGUAUUUUGUAUCUGGAAUUCACGAAUAAUAAUGUUGUGCUGCAAAUAGCCAGCGACGUUCCCUAUAAAUGUGGUAGUAUGCAUCAGUUUUGUGACCAUGGAUCCGACCUGCAGUGCUUCGGCUGCUCAAGCUGCUUUAACUGUCCAGGUGUGUUUCCCCGGUGCCCGUGCGGCUGUUUUGGAUAAUCUGAACCGCCAGCGGGAAGAGGGCAGGCUGUGUGACCUCUCCAUCCAGGUGCAAGGACAAGUGUUCAGGGCCCACCGCUGUGUGCUCGCUGCGUCCUCACCUUACUUUCAUGAACAGGUGUUAGGUCUACUGAAGAUGGUUACAACUGUUACCUUACCCUCAGGUAUGGACCAAGUGGCCUUUGAGAGUUUCCAAAGUUCCAGGUUGGAAAAAAAAACGGUAGUUACGUCACUGCCAGUUCCCUCCAGAUGUGGCACAUCGUGGUAAAAUGCACUUAAAUCCUGAAGAGCAGAAGUCAGCCCUGGAGUAGUCUCGCUUUGCCAGACCAUCCACGCUGCGGCGCAGAAGAGGGUCUGGCUACUCCACGCAGCAUUCCGGGAUGGGAGAAAAACGUGCUCUGGU